rnacentral:rRNA from 1 species
CAAUAGCGUAUAUUAAAGUUGUUGCAGUUAAAAAGCUCGUAGUUGGAUUUCUGGUAGGAGUGACCGUUCCGAACUUGAUUGUUCGUGUAUUGUGUUUUCUCCAGCCAUCCUUGUGGAGAACUUUUCUUGCAUUAAUUUGUAGGGAUUGGGACCCGCAUCGUUUACUGUGAAAAAAUUAGAGUGUUUAAAGCAGGCAAUCGCUUGAAUACAUUAGCAUGGAAUAAUAAGAUAGGACUUUGGUACUAUUUUGCUGGUUUGCAUACCAAAUUAAUGAUCAACAGGAACAGUUUGAGGAUAUUCGUAUGAACAUGUCAGAGGUGAAAUUCUUGGAUUUUGAUCAGACGAACUACUGCGAAAGCAUUUAUCAAGGAUGUUUUCAUUAA